GACGAACGCUGGCGGCGUGCUUAACACAUGCAAGUCGAACGAUGAAGCCGGAGCUUGCUCUGGUGAAUUAGUGGCGAACGGGUGAGUAACACGUGAGUAACCUGCCCUUGACUCUGGGAUAACUGCGGGAAACUGUAGCUAAUACCGGAUACGACCCUCGGAGGCAUCUCCUGGGGGUGGAAAGAAUUUCGGUCAAGGAUGGACUCGCGGCCUAUCAGCUAGUUGGUGAGGUAAAGGCUCAACAAGGCGACGACGGGUAGCCGGCCUGCGAGGGUGCCCGGCCACCCUGAGACUGGGACACAGCACAGUCUCAUACUGGAGGGAGCAGUCGGGAAUAUUGCACAAUGGGCGCAAGCCUGAUGCAGCAACGCCGCGUGAGGGAUGACGGCCUUCGGGUUGUAAACCUCUUUUAGCAGGGAAGAAGCGAAAGUGACGGUACCUGCAGAAAAAGCACCGGCUAACUACGUGCCAGCCGCCGCCGUAA
rnacentral:rRNA from 1 species